rnacentral:rRNA from 1 species
UGGCGGCAGGCCUAACACAUGCAAGUCGAGCGGAAACGACAACAUUGACCCUUCGGGUGAUUUGUUGGGCGUCGAGCGGCGGACGGGUGAGUAAUGCCUGGGAAAUUGCCCUGAUGUGGGGGAUAACCAUUGGAAACGAUGGCUAAUACCGCAUAACGUCUACGGACCAAAGAGGGGGACCUUCGGGCCUCUCGCUUCAGGAUAUGCCCAGGUGGGAUUAGCUAGUUGGUGAGGUAAUGGCUCACCAAGGCGACGAUCCCUAGCUGGUCUGAGAGGAUGAUCAGCCACACUGGAACUGAGACACGGUCCAGACUCCUACGGGAGGCAGCAGUGGGGAAUAUUGCACAAUGGGCGCAAGCCUGAUGCAGCCAUGCCGCGUGUAUGAAGAAGGCCUUCGGGUUGUAAAGUACUUUCAGUCGUGAGGAAGGCGUUGAAGUUAAUAGCUUCAUCGUUUGACGUUAGCGACAGAAGAAGCACCGGCUAACU